UACGUAGGGUGCAAGCGUUGUCCGGAAUUAUUGGGCGUAAAGAGCUCGUAGGCGGUCUGUCACGUCGGCUGUGAAAACCCGAGGCUCAACCUCGGGCCUGCAGUCGAUACGGGCAAACUAGAGUACUGCAGGGGAGACUGGAAUUCCUGGUGUAGCGGUGAAAUGCGCAGAUAUCAGGAGGAACACCGGUGGCGAAGGCGGGUCUCUGGGCAGUAACUGACGCUGAGACGCGAAAGCGUGGGGAGCGAACAGG
rnacentral:rRNA from 1 species